AUUCAACGUAGAAAGGCUAAGUCACAAGAAAUGGAGUUAGAAGAUGUGAAAGGAAUAAUGUACGGUCCAGGCAUUGCUGAUUAAGCAUGGACUGACUUUCAGAUUUUUUCAACAGCGCACACCCACGUACUUCUUAAAGACUUCUGUUUGAGUGCAAUUUUUGUACCUUAAAAGUGUUUGAAUAAAUAAAAAAAAAAUUUUAUUUUA